GCUCUGCCUCUUGAGAUUGGAACAUGGUCCCUGACCUUAAGUUCACAAUUCCAGAAAGGAGACAAUGAGAGAAACACAAUGGUGAUAAAUGUCGUUUCUCCCACCUCAGGAACACAGCCCUUUAGGGAAUUUCUGCAGCCUCGUUUCCCGGACUCAGUGACCUCUAAAUGCCUUCCAGUUGGCAAGGAAGCUUUCCCCACCGCCCCGGGGGUGCAGCUGGUGCACAGGUUAUGUUUGAGUCCCCAGCUCCCGGGAAUCUGGCUGGAGUCCCCCCUCCCAACUGGCUCACUUUCUCCCGAGGCAGGUAGCCACACCUCCUCCCCUGCUGUCUACAGGCGGGUUACACUUUGUGCAGGGGAAAACAAUUUGCUCAGGAAAGAAAAGCCAUGAACACAUUUAAAAAUGGAUUCAUUUCUCUGAGACUCCUAAGCUUUCCCUGACAGGCUGAUUCCAACACCAUCUCCUUUAUUAAGAGCAAACAUUGCCCUCCCUCCCCAUUCUCCCCUUCUCUCGCUGGAAAAGACGUGUGAAAAAUAUGCCCCCGAUUUCCAGCGCGGUUCCCAAGCGCCCCCUUCUUCGCUCCUUUCUUCCCUCUCUUCUCUGCACUGCACCAAGCCAGCCUUUGACGACAACAUCACAGAGGCUGCAGGAGAAGCAAGGUGAGGAGGCAAGCCCUGCAUUUGCGAAGGCAUCCAACAAGAACCGGCGGAGGGCGGCGCGCGUGUCCGCGGGAAGCAGGAGGAGUUGGUAGAGGAGGCCUAGGGAGCGCGGUAACGUCCGCCAGGCAGCCGGGGGCUAGUGUUGGGCCGAGACGGCAGGCGGCGGCGGCAGCAGCAGGGGCGGCAGCGGGCGGGCGCGGGGCCCUUGCCUCUGGCUUUAUGUGUCAGCUGCGCAGCGAGUCCAACAGGUGGCUCCGUGGCGCAAUGGAUAGCGCAUUGGACUUCUAGAGGAUGAAGGGAUUCAAAGGUUCCGGGUUCGAGUCCCGGCGGAGUCGCAAGUCCCUUUUUUUUUUUUUUUUUUCCUCACUUGGAUUAUUUCCUCCCCGCUCCCAGCACCUCGCAGCCCUCUGGCAGGUCCACGCUCGCUGCCCACGCCGCGCUCGGCCUUCGUGGCUCUGGCUUGCGCGCAAUCCGCCUGGCCCAGAGGCGGAGCGAGGAAGGAGGAGCCUCCGUCUGGACGUUACUUCUUCCCCCUUCUUCCCUCCCCCAUGUAGCCCAAAUCCGGACCGACCCCGCAGUCCCCUGUUCCACAGUGGAACCAACCAAAAUCUAGCGAGAUCACACCCCGAGACCAGUCUACAUCCCCCUUCCUGCACUUUACACAUGAGCAGACUGAGACCUAAAGAGGCCACGUCCAAUCCAUGACCCCCUUUUUUACGGAUUAGCAAACUGAUGCCUAGAGAGAACAAUCAUAAAUUCAAUCUGCACCCCACCGCGUUUUACGGGGCAGCCUUGUCUACUGGCAAACGGAGGCGCAGAAAUUGCAAACAGAACCAACCUACACUUCCUUCCCUCCCUCUUCUCAUUUUACAGAUGAGCAAACUGAGUCCCAGAGAGAUGUGACUCCUCAGGUCAACAAGUAGUAAAUAGGGAAGCUUUCAAUCUAAUUCUGUUCUUGUGACAACAAAACCCUUGGUGUCGGCUGCCAAAGGUUUGCUCGGGUGCUUCUAGCCUCCCCUUUUCUUAGACCCUGGGGAAUUGCCUUUCUGAGAAGGAAGAGAAAUCCAGGGUUGCUGAAGGAGACAGGGGGAUGUCCGUGCUGGUGCCCAGGAUUAGCAAGCAGGCCAGGAAGAGAAUGGUGGGCAAGCUGGACUCAGCUGUGUGACUUACUGCCCUGUCCCCCGUCCUCGCUUCAACAGGGGAUAAGGUGCUUCUGCCCUCUCCCAAGUAUGUGUUAGUCAACCUUUAAAAAAAAUGGCAGGGGAUUCAGAUGCCCAGGAUUAUAUGAAUUACAUCUGGAAGAAUUUUAGAAAUGAUCACUGACGUCAUCCACAGAGCCCUGCAACCUUGGCAGUCCGGUGAAGCCCAAGAAUCUCAUCUCAGAAUCAUGUUUUUUAAAGGCAUAAAAUAAAAGUAAUGAAUGACAAAGAAGGCAAGUUAUAUUGAAAUAAGAUUAUCAAAAUAGAGAUUUUUAAAAACAAGUUUACCACCACCAGGUUAAGAAGCCAUGAUUUUGUUCAAUCUCUUAGAUUUUCAGAUAAGGAAACUGAAGACCUUGAGAAAGCACUUUCCCAGUACCCUAUACUAGUGGCUGACAUCACUGAUAAGGGACAGGGAAGAAGAGCUGGGUUCUCAGAAUGACCCCAUUCCCAUCUAGCUUUAGGAUACCUUUUCCUAAAUGAAUAAUAUUUAUUGAGGGCUUAUCUUCCCCGACAAACCUCCUGCCCCCCAAAGUUUACUUACUAAUAAUGUAACAGAACAACAAAAAAAAAAAAAAAAAAAAUACCCCAUA